rnacentral:rRNA from 1 species
CAAGAAAUAACAAAACACUUCAUGAUUAUGACGUGUUAUUGGAAUGAGAGCAACCUAAACAACUCAACGAACGCAAUUGGAGGGCAAGUCUGGU